rnacentral:tRNA from 1 species
GGGAAUGUAGCUCAGUGGUGGAGCACUUGCCUAAGCAUGCACGAGGCCCUGGGUUCAAUUCUCAGCACCA